rnacentral:lncRNA from 1 species
GUGUGUGAGGAGUGCGAAGGGCUUGGCUGCGGCUGGAGGCUGUUUUAGGGUUUCUUCUUUUUUGUGUGUGUUUUGGGCUAGGGUUAAUUUUAUUGGGCUAUACGGGUUAUUGGGUUUUGGGUUGUCUUUUAUUUUUUUGUUUUUUUGUUUUUGGUUUCUUUAGCGGGCCGGGCUAAUAUCAAUCUACUCUUCCAAGAACGUUUCAAUAUUAAUAAACUUGAAUUUUGUGUUAAGAAUCCCACUCUCCUUUAUAUAUUUUUAAUUAAUUUUUUUGGUAUUAGUUUGCCCCUCUAUUUAUUUACUUUUACUAGUUUUUAUUGUGAAUUAAUAUUGUUAUAUACUUACCCCAAA